rnacentral:rRNA from 1 species
CCUAUGAAUUUUUUCAAAGACCUUUCUUGUUUGGAUCUUUGAAAAAAUUCAAGAAAGGUUUUUGAUUAAUUGGGGUGAUUUUUAAAUUUUAAAAAACUUUAGAAGUGUAUUAUUAGAUCCAAUAUUAUUGAUGGUUUAAAAAAAAUACUCUAGGGAUAACAGCGUUAUUACUUUGGAUAGUUCAUAUAGAUAAAGUAGAUUGCGACCUCGAUGUUGGAUUAGGAUACCUUUAUUAAUGAAGAAGUUAUAAAAGGAGGUUUGCUCAACCUUCAAAUUCCUACAUGAUCUGAGUUCAGACCGG